rnacentral:rRNA from 1 species
UCGAUGAAGAACGCAGCGAAAUGCGAUAAGUAAUGUGAAUUGCAGAUCUCAGUGAAUCAUCGAAUCUUUGAACGCACCUUGCGCUCUUUGGUAUUCCAAAGGGCAUGCCUGUUUGAGUGUCAUUAAAUUCUCAAUGCACUGCCUUGUGCUCUGCAUUGGAUUUGAAGAUU